ACCCACCCGUGCGGACUACCCACAACCCUACCUCGCCAUCUUCCACCUCAAGCGCGCCGCCACCCCUACCACUCUGCCGCGCGCCGCCGGUCCCCGCCCAGCCGUCAUGCACUGCCUACUCCGCCGGAGACAGCCCUGACCUCGCCGGAGACAGCCCUAACCUGCAUCAUCUCCACAGAUGCCAGCACCGUGCUUGGCGUCAUAUGCCGCAGGUUCCGCAGCCCUCCGGCGACCGUUGACGACGCCGCUGGGGCCGAGCGCCCGCCCGUGACUGUUGAUGACGCCGCUGGAGCCGAGCACCCGCACGCGUCGUCGCCCCUCAAGGUCCUUCGCCGCCCCGCCUCCGCCUUUGGUGUUUGGUCCCGUACGCCACGCUCCGACCCCACCUCGAUGCCAUUGAGGCUACUGCCGAGGAGGCCGUCUUGAUGUGCCGCCCCCACGUUGGAAGACCAGCACAUCUGCUCCAUGCCUCCACCACGGGCACAAGUUCUUCCGUGCAGUACUGCUUUCAAUGUCUUGCGACGCUGAUGUCCAUCGCAAACGACGACAGCAGCAGCUGCUCCUGUUUCAAGGGAAAUACAGGGCACUGGGAGCAGGCAUUUUAUCAAGGACCAUUUUGUUGCAUAUGAAAUGAGAACAAUUUGGUAUUAAAGGGGGGUUGGUGAUUCACCAUCAUUAUGUUUGGAGUCCUCUUGUAUGCAACUUGAUAUGUCGUUGGUAUGGGACACAUUUUCUACUUCAUCAUAUGAGUGUAUGACCUAGAAUCAAUUCUUCUAUUUGCAUCCAUAUAUUUCCAAGCAAUACAUAUACUGAGACUCCUUACAAGUUCAUAAAAACAAUUCAACAUCUUCAUUUGUGAGUAUACUCUGGUUUUGCUUCAUGUCUUCUACAAGUAGUGAUUUCUAUUUUGUUUUGUUAAUUCCAUUUGAUUUUUUCGGCCUUGGUAUCUUUCCACGGAAUGAUGAGAGAUUUUCUGACAGGAAGUAUAACACACAAAGCAAACACGAAGCUCUUGCAUCAUGUCUCCCAUGGUAGUGCAGUGGUUCCUAUAAAAUUUCCUGCAGACCUACUACAUAGUAGUCUUGAAGUAAAUACUCCCAUUUUUUUAGCUGAUAUGUUGUUGCAGAACAACAGAGUUAUAUACCCUAUUUUCCUUUCAGGUUCUAGACAGUGGAAAAAAUUAAGAAAAAACUUUGGUGAGAUAGAAACACAGGUUUGUUGUAUUUCACAAAACUGAAACAUGAUUUCCUUAUUGCUUCUGUUGGCAUGAACUUCUGUUCAUUCCUAUGCCAUCUAAUAGGAUCUUCUUUACACCAACUCUACACCAACCUAUUUGCAUGUUUAUAAACAAAGGAAACUGCUUUGUUUGUAACUUUACACCAACCUAUUGGCAUGUAUAUUAGCAGCAAUGUAACUUAAAUCAACAACUCUAGCAUAUUAAUUAAAAUUCCUUGCACAAUACUUCUCAGUUUCUCAGGUUUAAGAACAAUCUAUAGAACAUUUAAUCCUUCAGUUCGUAGUCGUGUUUUUCUAUUUAGAUAAUUAUUUUGUAAUCUUGACCUUUACUCUACAUUAAUUUACUUGUCGGAUAUUAUAUGGUUCCAGCUCUCACAAACUUCUCAAUAGCUUGCAGAUGAUUGAUUGAAUGCUUUUUUUUCUUCUGAUUAUUGCACAUCAUCAGUUAUGUAUCAAAAAGCUGAAGUGCCCUUUGAUCAAUUUAACAUGAAGAAGAUUUGUAUGAGCUGCAUGUAAUAGUAACAUAGAAAUUAUGACUGUUGGGAGACAAAAAGAGGGCGGUUGUAAUGGUAAAGAAGACAAAAUGACUGUUGUUGAACCUAGCAUGUCUACAAAUAAGCAUAUGGUAUGGCGAUGGACAUAACUUUCUUAUUCACAACUUUCUUAUUUGCAAGGGCACUGUCCACUGUUUUCUUCAUAAAAGUUUAUUAUUUGGUCUAUCAGUGUGUUAUGCAUUUGCUUGGUUGUGUCCAGUGUAAGGGUUAGUUGUUGAUAAAUGA